GGUUAAGCGACUAAGCGUACACGGUGGAUGCCCUGGCAGUCAGAGGCGAUGAAGGACGUGCUAAUCUGCGAUAAGCGUCGGUGAGGUGAUAUGAACCGUUAUAACCGGCGAUUUCCGAAUGGGGAAACCCAGUGUGUUUCGACACACUAUCAUUAACUGAAUCCAUAGGUUAAUGAGGCGAACCGGGGGAACUGAAACAUCUAAGUACCCCGAGGAAAAGAAAUCAACCGAGAUUCCCCCAGUAGCGGCGAGCGAACGGGGAGGAGCCCAGAGCCUGAAUCAGUGUGUGUGUUAGUGGAAGCGUCUGGAAAGGCGUGCGAUACAGGGUGACAGCCCCGUACACAAAAAUGCACAUAUUGUGAGCUCGAUGAGUAGGGCGGGACACGUGGUAUCCUGUCUGAAUAUGGGGGGACCAUCCUCCAAGGCUAAAUACUCCUGACUGACCGAUAGUGAACCAGUACCGUGAGGGAAAGGCGAAAAGAACCCCGGCGAGGGGAGUGAAAAAGAACCUGAAACCGUGUACGUACAAGCAGUGGGAGCCUCUUAAUGGGGUGACUGCGUACCUUUUGUAUAAUGGGUCAGCGACUUAUAUUCUGUAGCAAGGUUAACCGAAUAGGGGAGCCGAAGGGAAACCGAGUCUUAACUGGGCGUUAAGUUGCAGGGUAUAGACCCGAAACCCGGUGAUCUAGCCAUGGGCAGGUUGAAGGUUGGGUAACACUAACUGGAGGACCGAACCGACUAAUGUUGAAAAAUUAGCGGAUGACUUGUGGCUGGGGGUGAAAGGCCAAUCAAACCGGGAGAUAGCUGGUUCUCCCCGAAAGCUAUUUAGGUAGCGCCUCGUGAAUUCAUCUCCGGGGGUAGAGCACUGUUUCGGCAAGGGGGUCAUCCCGACUUACCAACCCGAUGCAAACUGCGAAUACCGGAGAAUGUUAUCACGGGAGACACACGGCGGGUGCUAACGUCCGUCGUGAAGAGGGAAACAACCCAGACCGCCAGCUAAGGUCCCAAAGUCAUGGUUAAGUGGGAAACGAUGUGGGAAGGCCCAGACAGCCAGGAUGUUGGCUUAGAAGCAGCCAUCAUUUAAAGAAAGCGUAAUAGCUCACUGGUCGAGUCGGCCUGCGCGGAAGAUGUAACGGGGCUAAACCAUGCACCGAAGCUGCGGCAGCGACACUAUGUGUUGUUGGGUAGGGGAGCGUUCUGUAAGCCU
rnacentral:rRNA from 1 species